GCAGAGGGUUGCAUUACUUGAUUAUAUCCCCACCUUCCACAGAUUGUUGCUUUCCUAAUCCCACUUCUUGAUGACAAGUUUCCUCUUAUACGGAGUAUUACUUGUUGGACCCUCUCUCGAUAUAGCAAGUUCAUUGUUCAGAGCCUUGGCCAUCCGAAUGGUUGUGAACAAUUUGAUAAGAUUCUCAUAGGUUUGCUCAGAAGGAUAUUAGAUACCAACAAAAGAGUGCAGGAGGCUGCUUGUUCUGCGUUUGCAACACUGGAAGAGGAGGCUGCAGAAGAACUAGUGCCCCGACUGGAUAUUAUUCUGCAGCACCUCAUGUGUGCAUAUGGGAAAUACCAGAGGCGAAACCUUCGGAUACUCUAUGACGCUCUUGGUACUCUUGCUGAUGCUGUUGGAGCAGAGCUAUACCAG